GAGACAUCGAGACACCAGAAUCUCACCAUGAAGGGACGACAUUUACAAGUUGUUUGUGGAUUUUAUUGUGAAAUCGUCCCAGUUUGACACGAAGCGUUUCUCAGAAGCAAAGUGUCAGCGUGGACGUGAGGAUGGGACGCGCUUUGUUUGGUGUGUUGGGGCUUUUCUUGCUGAAUAUUCUCCUCUACUGUGGACACGC